rnacentral:rRNA from 1 species
CAGUAGCCGCGGGAAUACAGAGGGUGCAAGCGUUAAUCGGAAUUACUGGGCGUAAAGCGCGCGUAGGUGGUUUGUUAAGUUGGAUGUGAAAGCCCCGGGCUCAACCUAGGAACUGCAUUCGUGACUGGCAAGCUAGAGUAUGGCAGAGGGGGGUGGAAUUCCACGUGUAGCAGUGAAAUGCGUAGAGAUGUGGAGGAACACCGAUGGCGAAGGCAGCCCCCUGGGCCAAUACUGACGCUCAUGCACGAAAGCGUGGGGAGCAAACAGGAUUAGAUACCCCUGUAGUCCCUGUCUCUUAUAC